rnacentral:rRNA from 1 species
GACAGAGGGUGCAAACGUUGUUCGGAAUUACUGGGCGUAAAGGGCGCGUAGGCGGCCUUCUAAGUCGGACGUGAAAUCCCCGGGCUCAACCCGGGAACUGCGUCCGAUACUGGAAGGCUUGAAUCCGGGAGAGGGAUGCGGAAUUCCAGGUGUAGCAGUGAAAUGCGUAGAUAUCGAGAGGAACACCAGAGGCGAAGGCGAAUCACUGGACAGAAUCUGACGCUGAGGCACGAAAGCUAGGGGAGCAAACGGG